rnacentral:lncRNA from 1 species
UGCAUUCCUCACAUGGAAUAAGACAUUUGUGACAUGAUGUCAAAUGGUCACCCACUGCACUAUUAUGUGACCUUUCAAACCUCUUAGUGCCUAUUUCAUUGUGAUAUUUUGCCCUUAUUUUCACUCAUAUUAUCUUCCCCAACGCCCUCUCAGACACUCAAGAAUUACAUAUUUUACUUCAUUCUUGUUCGAACAAACUCAUCAGGUAACUCUGUGGAACUCUAUAAAACUUUCCUGUUUUGUUAUUUUAUUCUAUUUUUUUCUGGAUUUGCCUUUUCUAGAAGGAAGUAUCAUUGGCACUAAGAACUUGUACUGAAUUUGCAGGUUAAAAGCUAUGGCGAUGAGGGAUUUUGAAAGGCUGAUGGUGAAUUUGAAGUCGAAGCUAAUUAGGUCUAUGAAAAUGAAGAAACCUAAUUAUGACAAGAUUGAGAAGAGUGAAAGCAUGAGGUUUGAAAUCAGGAGCAGAAAGGCUCGAAAGCUCAUUGAAGAAACUCUCAAAAUCGCAGAUUCUCCUAAAACCAGAAGCUAUGUUCUCUGAUGCUAUACAACGGAAAACUCAAGUGCAUAUUUAGUAAGCAACAAAUUAGUGUAGAUUGAAUAGUGUUAUAAAUGAGGUUUGGGUUUCAUAACACUGAUUUUGUCGAUUUUAUACUGUUCUUCUUCUUCUUCUUCUUCUUGAUGUUGAUUAAAGAAAUCAGUUGCUAGCUAACACGCACCCCUCACCACCCAGCCCCUACCCCUCGUAUACACACAUGUAUGCAUCUCUGCAAGUAUGCAAGAACGCAGGACUGCCAUAUCUGUAUCACAUGGUGUGUUUUGUCCAAAGGUUGGGUCAUAAUCCAUAAACAAGAUUGUGGUCCAAUUUUCCAAAUAUAUUUUUCAUAUAUUUGAAUUUAAUAUAACUAUACCAAGAUCAAAUACUGAUUCUUGAACAAAUAUUUCAUAACUA